GGGGAAGGGGAAGAGGCUACCCCGUGGUAAAUAUGAGGAGGGGAGCGGGCACAGUCAUUUCAUCUCUAUCCUCUCCACUCUCUCCAUUUUCUCCCUCUCCCAAAUCUGUACAAGUGCUUGGUGUUUCCGGAGGGGUUCUUUUGACGUUCAGAUCCGACCGCUCCUGCAAUACCAGACAGAGAGAAAGAUGGCCGAUGCUGCUGGUCAAGUGAGUCCCAGAAUUUUUGCUUGUGUUUUUUUUUUGUUUGCACACGCCCCCCAUAGAUCUGAGUGGGGCUGUAGGUUUUUUUGUAUCAAGUAAUACGGCAUAGUAGUUUCAAGUAGAGAAUCGCCCCCCAGUGUGCAGCACUUGUAUUUUUAUUAGAUCUUUUUUUUCUCAUUUUUCUUUUGUGUUCGUGUGUAUCAAGAUGCAUGCUGAAUUUUAGUGGUAUAUUUAGGGUUUGCAUGUAUGCAUAUAUGUAGAUCCCUUUUUUCUUUUUUCAUGGAUAGUUGUUUGAUUAAAGUAAUCUAGAGGAUUUUUUGUUUUUGUUUAUAGCAUUUCUAUCGUUAAGAUGUUUUGUAUUUUUGUUUUUGUGUGUCAAUAGAAUGCUGAAAAUCAUUCCCAGUGAAAGUAGAGGAUGAUGUAUCUUUUAUCACCGGAGGAAGUUGACUAGUAAUUUCAGACUUCUAGUGAUACGUUCAUAAAGGAUUUCAGUGACUAGUACUUUCAGUUGACUAGUAGUUUCAGACUUUCAGUGACUAGUAGUUUCAGACUUUCAGACUUUCAUAGCUUUUUAUACAUUUUCAUGAUAUAUAGAUGAUUGCCAUGUCCAUAGUUAAUAUUUAGAAUUUCAGUGGUACAUAACAUAGUUUCAGACUUUCAGUGGUAUGUUGGUUUUGCUGAACAUAGUUUCAGGCUUGCAGUGGUACGUUCAUACGACUGAAUAUAGUUUUAGACUUGUUGGUAUGUUCAUCUUACUGACCAUAGUUUUCAUUUUUACCAUUUUCUAUGUUCAUAGUGUCACUUCCAGUGGUAGUUAGCAUAGGCAUAUUGCUAGUGCUGUUUUAUAUCUUCAUAGCUUUUUCUUUUUUUUUUCAUUGCAUUGUUUGCUGAUUUUUGGUUGCACUUGAGACUAACACUGUAUGUCUUUGUACAUUUUUCACUUUUGUUUAGUCUUAGAGCACCUGAUCCAAAUAUGCACGUUCAAAGUUAGCACCAAGUUUGCUUGAUCAAAUCUGCUAGGAUGUAUUGUAGAUAGUCAACUAACGAUCAGUUGAUUGAUUCAAAUCCGCUAGCAGCGUAUGUGGUGUCGUCUUUCUCUUUUGUUUUCUAGAUUUUUCAAGCGCAACCCAGUUACUUCUGUGGCACUGAUUAGAACUAGCAGUAAAGCCAAGUAGCUAUAACAGAGUGAUUAGUACCUUUUUGUAUUUUUUUUACUGGAAGUAGUACUAGUAGCACCACCAAUUUCUAUGUAGGUACUUUUAGUUCAGAGUUUAGACUCAUGACCUCACAGGAGUACUUUCUGAUAUGUCGAGUAGCAAAAAAUGAAAUAUAUUAGCCUGGAUUAGCAUCGUAUUGUGAAUUAAUUUUAGUCAUAAACAUUAAAAAGCAAGAUUUUGUCAUUUGGGUGGGCAGGGAUUUUUAACUCCAGGAACCUGAUGGACCAUGUGUGAAGCUAUUUGAAAACUACUUUUUGUUUGUAUUUCCUAUUUCAGAAGAGUGUAAUCGUAACCACAUGUACAACAAUACUUUUCGUUCUCUCUUUUCCCAAAACUGAACCACUAGCCUUUUACGGCAGAAGCACUUUUUUAAUAUGUAAUUUUUUUUGGUUGUACCAUCUGGUAAGUAGUUUUUGGGCUUUUUCACAGUCAUAAAGUUGCAUGAAUACAUGGUGAAAUAUAUAUUUGUUUCUGAGAUCAAAGAAGACACUAUAAACUGUUAUUUUUAGUGAGUUAUCCAUUCUAAUUUAUUUUAUUUUUUGCUUUCUUUUUGGAUGUGCACAGGAGGUUUGUGGAGUUUGUUUCAACCAUUGCAACUAUGAGAGCAAGGGAAGUGGUUUCAGCAUGUUUGCAUGGGAGGAGUUCAACAAUGCAGGGGUAACUCACUCCUAACUUUUUGUACUAAUGUCAUCACAAUACUCAUAACUUUUGUCGUGACAUCACUCCUAACUUUUUGUAUUUUUUAUUUUAUUUUGUGUUCAAAUCAGGUUGUGCCUUGCAAUGAAAGGGUCCGUUUCAAUAAUGUGACUAGAGAGAAGGUGACUUUGUGGCAAACCAAAGGACAUACACUGUAAAGUGUUAAAAGGGUCAUACAAAGAGUGCUAUGUAUGGGAGCGGUUGGAGGAAGUUCUAUGAUGACAACAAGCUAGGGAAGGGUCAGAUGGUGGUGUUCUUCCUGGAUGAACCUUCGCCUAGGGCAGCUAUUUGUGUGAUCCAAGUGGGCAGCGGCUCCGAAGAUGAACAGCCUAUGGAAGAGGGUGAUCCCAUUGAAGCUUCAAGCGAUGAUGGUGAAGGCAUUGUUCGCAUCAGGGGGCUUCUACUUAAUGAGACAGAGUGUUUUCAGCUACAAGGGUUGCUGCCUCUCAGUGAUGAUUUCAUCGGGUUUCCUUUCGUUCACCGCCUCACAAGGACAGACAAUUGUUUGGGCAUGAUGUCACUGGAAUGUGGAUCCAGGCUCAACAUCUUUCUAGAGGCCACCCAACGGCACUGUUCGAAUUGAGACACAGAGAGAAAACGGGAGAGGAAGGAAGCCACAUCACGGGGGUGGGGUUUCCGCGGCGGAACUCGCCGGCGAUGAGAUGCUCGGCGACGCCCGUGAGGAGAUGCUCGGCGAUCCGAGCGCCCCUCCAGAGUCCUCGCGCCCUGCUGAUGAGGUGAACUGCCAAAAACAGACAAUUGAUGUUUUACAUUUUUCAUAAGAAAAUCUGGGAGUGUUUCCUUUUACUAGUUACAAGUAGAAAUAUGUGAACGGAUUAACCAUCCUCACUAGUUAGAAGUAUAUUUUUUCCUGCUUUUUUAUUGGUGCGAAUCAGGAAUCUGAGGGCAGCGUAUUAGUGCUUUUGUUUUAGCUCGACCUCGUAUUUUUUUCAAAGGUAACUAUUUUUGAA